AAAUAAGGAGUAGAAAAACCCUACCUCCUGAACCCCUCUCACACAUCUUCGCUCUCUCCUGAAUCCCUCUCACACAUCUUCGCUCUCUCCUGAACCCCUCUCAUGCGAACCUUGUCUCACGCCCUCUCUAUCCAACUCCUCAUCUCACACCCUCUCCAUCCAACUCCUCUCCUGCAAUCUCCUCCCUCACCACCGCCUCAUUCCAUCUCCUAACCCUCGGAGUUCUACCUGCUUCCUAGGGUUUGAAAUGGGCUAACUCGAGUAACUCUGGCACAAAAGCAAAGGAAGAUCUUUCUUUUGCAACACAUGCUAUUCAGUUCACACAAGCAGAGUACUCUCAAGAAGAAAUUGAUGAGGUGCAUUCAGGGUUUGCAAAAUGUAUACAAGAUCAUAUUUAUGAGUAGGGUUACUGUAAUCAUGAUCAGGUUCCAAUAACUCAAGCUUCAAUGUUGGUUUCAACUAUUAAGUAGUUUUGUACUAUUUUGUAGUUUUGUGCAACGUACUGCCUGAAAUCCAAAUUUAUCUCAUUUGUAUCUUAAUCUAGAUUUUCUAAUUACUGUAUGGUGUGAACUGUGACCCUUGUUUUCAGCUUUAAGAGUGAAAAUUUCUUUUACAAAAUAUUGAUGGUAUCACUUUCUGUGGCAGAUACACAAUGGUAGAUGUUUUAUCCCAAUCUCAAGUCGUCAAUUCUUUUUUAGUGUAGCUAGUAGAAGUAAGCAGAUCGUUACCUUCGAGGUCGGCUAGCUAUUUUAUGCUCUUUUGUUUUAAAUUUAAAUGUCAGUAUCUACUUUGAAAUGGAACUAUUUAGUCUUUGAAAUUAUUAACUGAAUUCUACUUUGUAGCUGAA